rnacentral:rRNA from 1 species
UACGAAGGGAGCUAGCGUUGCUCGGAAUCACUGGGCGUAAAGGGUGCGUAGGCGGGUCUUUAAGUCAGGGGUGAAAUCCUGGAGCUCAACUCCAGAACUGCCUUUGAUACUGAAGAUCUUGAGUUCGGGAGAGGUGAGUGGAACUGCGAGUGUAGAGGUGAAAUUCGUAGAUAUUCGCAAGAACACCAGUGGCGAAGGCGGCUCACUGGCCCGAUACUGACGCUGAGGUGCGAAAGCGUGGGGAGCAAACAGG